rnacentral:rRNA from 1 species
AUUGAACGCUGGCGGCAGGCCUAACACAUGCAAGUCGAGCGAGCGGCGGACGGGUGAGUACUGUCUGGGAAACUGCCUGAUGGAGGGGGAUAACUACUGGAAAGGGUAGCUAAUACCGCAUACCAUCAGAUGGGCCCAGAUGGGAUUAGCUAGUAGGUGGGGUAAUGGCUCACCUAGGAGACGAUCCCUAGCUGGUCUGAGAGGCUGACCAGACACACUGGAACUGAGACACGGUCCAGAAGCCUACGGGAGGCAGCAGUGGGGAAUAUUGCACAAUGGGCGCAAGCCUGAUGGAGCGAGGCCGCGUGUGUGAAGAAGGCCUUCGGGUUGGAAAGCACUUUCAGCGAGGAGGCGUUACUCGCAGAAGAAGCCCCGGCUAACUCCGGGCCAGCAGCCGCGGUAAUAC